rnacentral:lncRNA from 1 species
CGGGAGGGGGGCAGGGAGGAAGUUUAUUUAUAACCCUUCCUGCCACGUGCACACGGCGGAGGCUGGCAGACCCAUGUGCCCACCCCGAAGGGCAGAGCUGGGAGUCGAGAGUCCAAUUUGGCCCGGUUGGUUCCAGUCUUCAUAAUCUGGAAUUUCCGGAAUUUUCCCUCAUUGUAGCUGAGGCUGGCACACUCCAUUUCAUUAAGGACGAGAAAGAGUGCGGGUGUCGGGGCUCUAGCCCACGGCUGACCUGCGGAGUCAUCACACCCUCGGAGUUCAGCCUGCAGACUCCCGCUGGACCGGGGUGGGAGCACCUGCGCUCCUGUCCGGUGAGGCUGGGGCCGUCUCAACCAGCUUUGGCCACCGGGUGGAUGAGCUCUCACGUGUCCCUGCUCGGCUUGGCCCCUGACACGCGGUGGCAGCUACUCUGACAAAGCCCAUUGCACGUUUCCUCUCUUAGAGUUUCCGUUUUUGUGGGAUCAGAGGCCGGGCUCAGUGCAUCUCUGUGUUCUCAGGGCUGGAAGACUGCGGCCCGUCACCGUAGCUGGAGGAAAUGUGUGCCAAUUUCCUCAUGGGGACAUGAGACGCUCAGUCAGAGCCACUCUAGGAGGAAGGAUGCUGGUGCCAGCAGGGGUGCACCCGGCUGCAGCUACGAGCAUCUGACUGGCUCUACUGUCAUGAAGUGGACGAUUGCCACACCAGGAGUUACCGAAGACCUGGGGUAUAGUCUUGGCCCUCCUGGUGAGUAGGUUCCAUGUUGCCAGUGGGGCCACAGGGGCCUUCUCUCUUUCCAUUCAACGUCAUUAGCUGAAUGUGCCUCAUGAGCAUAAAGUGGUUGCUGAUGUGCGUGCAGCUGAAUCUGUGUCCUUCACCUGACAACAUCCGAUUAUGUCUCCUUGACUACAUGCUUAGCCUUCGAAGACAGGGAGCCUUUUACCAGCGUGCUAUUUAGAUUUAACUACUAACAUAUUCAGCUCAAAGAGUUGAAAGCAGUCACCCUAGAAUGUGAGAAAAUUGGGGUAAAAGGCGUGAGAAAACUCCAUAUCUGUCACAAACCUUAGAGAACCACUGCAUUAUCUAAUCCGUGUGCACACACCUGUGAUUACAAACAUAGAAACCAGACUGGGCUCCUCUGUGAAGCGGGUCUGCAUCCCAGCCUUGACCUUGCUCCUGGGGGGAUGGGCAGUGACUCGGACCCUGACCCCCCCACCCUCCCACCCCGUUGCUGGUUCUCAGCUGGAGCCUAAACCCAGAGAAGCCGUUCCACCUAAUCACCUGGGUCAUCGUCUCAAAAACUGGUUUCUUUUUAACUGUUUUUCGUGAGGAACAAGGUGAGCAUGAGGGGCAGCCAAGCUGCUGUCCCCCGGCUCUCGCGCUGUAGGGGCCGGCCUGAGAGGGCAGAUGCCUUUGGAUCGACUUCAAUUUUCAAUCCAUCUGGGGAGACCUGGGCGCUGCUUCACCAG